UUAGCUUCAGGUGGAGCAAGAUCCUCUAAGAAGCUCUGUUGUCUUCCUGACUGUGGCCCCAUGAAGUGACCAUGUACACACCUAGAAUUGAUGUUUGGAGAUCUGUGGCCAAACCCUGAGCUGAGGGCCUCAACUCCCAUUGACUUCAAUGUGAGUGGAGGGCGCUAAGCAUAUCGAGAGGCACUCAGCACCUUGCUUGAUUGGAUCCUUGUCGGUUACCAUACUUUAUGAUUUUCUUAAGAAGGAGAGCUACCUUGAUGCUGCAGUUUACCUGCUUACAUGAGGCUUAUGGCAGUGAAGAUGAGAGCAUCUGCUACUGUUAGGAGUAUAAUAUUUUAGUUAUUUGUGCUUUUGGCCCCACGGUCCCAGUUCAUUGUAGCUACUUCAGCGCUCUGUGGAAGGAAAGGCCACCAUAGAAAGAGAACAGGUCUAGUCUAUUGAUAUCUUUGAAGACAUCAGGAUGCAUAACAGCUGUGAAAUCCAAAGGAUGAAAACUUUGAUUUUGAAGCAUGCAUAACUUUGCCUAAUUGCCUCUAAUCCUCAUCAGGAAUAGUUAGCAUUGUAGAAAGAAGGAGAUCUUUCCAUCUCUUUGAGCUUCCAUCUGAGAUCUCCCCAGUCAUUUGAGUAGCCUGGCAGAGUCUUCUGCUAUUCACUGGUAACCCAAAUUCCUUCCCUUCACAAUUCAUAAACAAUAAUCUAAGGAACAUUUUGUAAUCUAGUGAUGUCAAAUGAUCUCUAUUGCCACACUCCCUGCUAAAUACAUGUUCUAUGCUGGAUCCAUGCAGAAGCACUUUAUUUUAAAAGACAAUCCUUAGUUUCAGUUUCUCCAUUUUGGUUGCACCCAUCAGCACAAAACAAUGCUAUGUGUUGUGGCAUGACACUGAUAUUCUCCACAGUGAUUCUUUUAUGCUUUUAUAGCAUGAUGAUAUCACAGUUCCUUCAUAUAUUUUGUUACUGUGGUACAAUAUUAAAACACUCAUAUGGCUUUUCAUAUGCUACUUGCUUUUUUAACCUACUGAGGAUUAACCUGACUGCGUUGUCUGUAGUGAGGUCUAG